ACCCUACGGGACGCAGCAGUGGGGGAUAUUGCACAAUGGGGGGAACCCUGAUGCAGCGACGCCGCGUGGGUGAAGAAGCGCCUCGGCGCGUAAAGCCCUGUCGGCAGGGAAGAAAAUGACGGUACCUGAAGAAGAAGCCCCGGCUAACUACGUGCCAGUAGCCGCGGUAAUACGUAGGGGGCAAGCGUUAUCCGGAUUUACUGGGUGUAAAGGGGGCGCAGACGGCGAUGCAAGCCAGGAGUGAAAGCUCGGGGCCCAACCCCGGGACCGCUCUUGGAACUGCGCGGCUGGAGU
rnacentral:rRNA from 1 species